ensembl:snRNA U4 U4 spliceosomal RNA
AGUUUUACACAGGGGUAAUAUCGUAGCCAAUGAGGUUUAUCAGAGGCAUGAUUAUUGCUAAUACUUGAAAAUGUCUCCAUUCUCUUUUUACCUGGAAGAUAACUUAGUUGGGUGCAGAACUUGGGAGUUGUCUUUUCCUGGAU